rnacentral:rRNA from 1 species
AACAAGGAUUCCCCUAGUAACGGCGAGUGAACCGGGAAGAGCUCAAAUUUGAAAUCUUGGCAUCCUCAGGGUGUCCGAGUUGUAAUCUAUAGAGGCGUUUUCCGCGCUGGACUGUGUCCAAGUCCCUUGGAACAGGGUAUCAAAGAGGGUGACAAUCCCGUACUUGACACAACAACCAGUGCUAUGUGAUACGCUUUCUACGAGUCGAGUUGUUUGGGAAUGCAGCUCAAAAUGGGUGGUAAAUUCCAUCUAAAGCUAAAUAUUGGCGAGAGACCGAUAGCGAACAAGUACCGUGAGGGAAAGAUGAAAAGCACUUUGGAAAGAGAGUUAAACAGUACGUGAAAUUGUUGAAAGGGAAACGAUUGAAGUCAGUCGUGUUCAUUGGAUUCAGCUGGUUCUGCCAGUCUACUUCCUUUGAACGGGUCAACAUCAGUUUUGCCCGGUGGAAAAGGGCAGGAGGAAAGUAGCUCCCUCGGGAGUGUUAUAGCCUCUUGUCGCAUACACUGGGUGAGACUGAG